rnacentral:rRNA from 1 species
GUAGGGAAUCUUGCACAAUGGGCGAAAGCCUGAUGCAGCAACGCCGCGUGAAGGAAGAAGGCCUUAGGGUCGUAAACUUCUGUUCUUGGGGAAGAAAAAAAUGACGGUACCCAAGGAGGAAGCCCCGGCUAACUACGUGCCAGCAGCCGCGGUAAUACGUAGGGGGCAAGCGUUAUCCGGAAUUAUUGGGCGUAAAGCGUGCGUAGGUGGUAAUUUAAGCGCAAGGUUUAAACUAACGGCUCAACCGUUAAUUGCCAUGCGAACUGGGUUACUUGAGUGCUGGAGGGGAAAGCGGAAUUCCUAGUGUAGCGGUGAAAUGCGUAGAUAUUAGGAGGAACACCGGCGGCGAAGGCGGCUUUCUGGACAGCAACUGACACUGAGGCACGAAAGUGUGGGUAGCAAACAGGA